CAGCCGCCGCGGGAAUACGAAGGGUGCAAGCGUUACUCGGAAUUACUGGGCGUAAAGCGUGCGUAGGUGGUGGUUUAAGUCCGUUGUGAAAGCCCUGGGCUCAGCCUGGGAAUUGCAGUGGAUACUGGGUCACUAGAGUGUGGUAGAGGAUAGUGGAAUUUCCGGUGUAGCAGUGAAAUGCGUAGAGAUCGGAAGGAACAUCUGUGGCGAAGGCGACUAACUGGGCCAACACUGACACUGAGGCACGAAAGCGUGGGGAGCAAACAGGAUUAGAUACCCCCGUAGUCCCUGUCUCUUAUAC
rnacentral:rRNA from 1 species